GAUGAACGCUGGCGGCGUGCCUAAUACAUGCAAGUCGAGCGAAUGGAUUAAGAGCUUGCUCUUAUGAAGUUAGCGGCGGACGGGUGAGUAACACGUGGGUAACCUGCCCAUAAGACUGGGAUAACUCUGGGAAACCGGGGCUAAUACCGGAUAACAUUUUGAACCGCAUGGUUCGAAAUUGAAAGGCGGCUUCGGCUGUCACUUAUGGAUGGACCCGCGUCGCAUUAGCUAGUUGGUGAGGUAACGGCUCACCAAGGCAACGAUGCGUAGCCGACCUGAGAGGGUGAUCGGCCACACUGGGACUGAGACACGGCCCAGACUCCUACGGGAGGCAGCAGUAGGGAAUCUUCCGCAAUGGACGAAAGUCUGACGGAGCAACGCCGCGUGAGUGAUGAGGGCUUUCGGGUCGUAAAACUCUGUUGUUAGGGAAGAACAAGUGCUAGUUGAAUAAGCCGGCACCUUGACGGUACCUAACCAGAAAGCCACGGCUAACUACGUGCCAGCCGCCGCAGUAA
rnacentral:rRNA from 1 species